GCUCAAAAAGUAAAAUGAAUUCUCCAAGACCAUGAAGCUAAUUGGCUUCAUUCUUUAAUUUCGAUAUGGACUCACUUACAAAUGGACCACCUGACUACUGUCAUCACAAGUUCCCCGGGGAAGAGAACCUAAUUAGAAGAGACAAGCUCUCUAGAGGAGAUUGUCUCUCUGUCCAGUGAGUGUUGGUCAUUUGUGUUAUGGAAAUAGUGCACAAUGAGGGUCAUGACAAUAGUCUACACCAAGGAAUGGUAAAUUUUUCUCUGUAAAGGGGCUGAUAUGGACCCGGUGGGAGGUAAUUGAAUCAUUGGGGCAUGUCUUUGCUGUGCUGUUCUCAUGAUAGUGAAUAAGGCUCACGAAACAUGAUGGUUUUAAAAAGAGGAGUUUCCUUGAACAAGCUCUCUUUGCCUGUUACCAUCCAUAUAAGAUGUGACUGGUUUCUCCUUGCCUUCUGCCAUGAUUGUGAGGCUUCUCCAGCUACAUGGAACUGUGAGUCCUCCAUUUAACCUCUUUCCUUUGUAAAUUGCCAAUUUGUAAAUUGUGCGAAUAAAUCUUUAUUUACAAAAAUAGGGAUGGGGCAGGAUUGGUUCCUCAUGCUGUCAUUUGCUGACCCCUAGUCUACAACUACACUAUGAGCAGAAAAGACUAUUUAACAAAGGGGUGGGGCAAGUUGGAGGGGGUAAUCAUCUCCAGUAUUCUCACCAAGCACUGAAUAUUGGAAGCAGAGGCCUUUCAUGUAUGGGGAAACCUAAAGCAUGACUGCAAGUGAUAAAGCAUUCACAUCAUGUUCAGAGAACAGUUCUCAUUCUAUCAACAGAAUUUCACCCUCAGGAACAUGCCUGCCUUCCCUCAGGAUAAGUAGGGAAGGGAGAGCUCAGAAAAAAGAGGACAGUUCAGCCAACUGAGUUGGAAUAGAGAGAUUCAUAACAUUGUAGGGAGGGCAGGUUUUCAGAAAUAUAUGCCUAAUGAUCUCAUAUCUAGUUAUAGCCCUGCUGGGAAUUGUACAUUGUAGGGAACACGGUAGAGCAAUGCACAAGGUGAAGUUGGAAACAAGGCAGUAGGCAAUUUUAAAGUCCCAUUUUGAGCUAGGAAGAAAAAGGGGAUAUAAAUAUUGCAUGAAGUAGUGUCUUAAAAUCCUAUUCUAUCCAUUUCAGCAAACUAGAUACUCAGUGUUUAAUAGCACCUGAAGCCAGCUAUAAUAAGGAUGAAGGAAAGAUAUGUGCACCAGUGGAGUAGCCACCUCAACAGCACCGAUAAUACCAAGAGCUAAAAGGUCGUGUUUGUUUAAUGCUUUCCAUAAGCAACUGGUCUGACCAAAAGAAUUCUGCAGGAAUGAUUAAGCUUUCUUUAGCGCUUAUUGUAGCCUAGAUAUGGUCAGCAAGACCGAGCUCUGCAAUCAGUAGAACGGGACAAUCACAGAUAGGUUUCAGUGACCUCUCUUGGCAGCAAUUUUCCUCUCUGCCCUCACUGGCUUCAAUAGAUUCCCUGGUUUGCAGUUAUUACCUUGGCAGGACUGUUCUGCCCCUCUCUGUCAUGUAAGAUAGCCUGGGAUAAAAAGGGAGAUGGCAACAACUGAAGCAGGUGGAUACUAGAGGGGUUAUUAAAAUACUGAGUACUUGAUAUUUUAAAAUAAAAAAUUAAAAGCAAAUGGUUUCCAAAUACCUGCCAACCUUGGAGAUAUUGGGGAUUUGUUUCGAGACUAAUGCAAUAAAGCAAAUAUCAAAAUAAAGCAAGUCACAUUAAUUUUUAGUUUUUCAGUGCAUAUAAUAGUUAUGUUUCUCUAUAUAGUAUAUAUAUAUAUAAUGAAUAUACAAUAGUCUUUUAAGUAUGCAACGGUAUUAUGUAUAAAAAACAAUGUCCAUACCUUAAUUAAAAACACUUUAUUGCUAAAAUAUGCUAACAAUCAUCUGAGCCUUCAGCAAGGCAUAAUCUUUUUGCUAGCAAAUGGUCUUGCUCGAUGUUGACAGCUGCUGACUGAUCAGGGUGGUGGUUGCUGAAGGCUGGGGUGAUUGUGACAAUUUCUUAAGAUAAAACAACAAUGAAAUUUGCUACAUUGACUGACUCUUCCUAUCAUGAAAGAUUUCUCUGCAGCAUACAGGGCUAUUUGACAGCGUUUUAUGCACAGCAGAACUUUUGCAACUGGAUUCAAUCUUCUCAAAACGUGUUGCUGCUUUAUCAAGUGAGUUUAUGAACUAUUAUAAAUCCUUUGCUGUCAUUUCAACAAUAUUCACAGCAUCCUUACUAGGAAUAGAUUUAUUCUGAAGAAACCACUUUCUUUUCUCAUCCAUAAGAAACAACUCCCCCCAUUCAUUCAAGUUUGAUCAUGACAUUACAACAACCCAGUCACAUCUUUGGGCUCCACUUCUAAUUCUAAUUCUCUUGCUAUUUUCAUCACAUUGGCACUUACUUUCUUCUCUGAAGUCUUGAACCCCCUAACGUCAUCCAUCAGGGUUGGAAUCAACUUCUUCCAAACUCCAAUUAAUAUUGAUAUUUUGACCUCCUCUCAUGAAUCAAAAAUAUCCUAAUAGCAUCUAGAAUGGUGAAUCCUUUCCAGAUGGUUUUUAAUUUACUUUGCUUAAAUCCAUCAGAGGAAUUACUAUCUAUGGCUGCUAUAGUGUUAACAAAGGUAUUUCUUGAAUAAUAAGACUUGAAAGACAAAAUUACUCCUUAAUCCAUGGGCUACAGAGUGAAUGUGCUGUUAGCAGGCAUGAAAACAAGAGUAAUCUUCUGUGCAUCACAAUCAGAGCUUUUGAGUGACUAGGUGCAUUGUCAAUGAGCAGUAAUAUUUUGAAAAGAAUCUUUUUUCUGAGUAGUGUAUCUCAACUGGGGACUUAAAAUAUUCAGUACACCACACUAUGAAGAGAUGUGCUCUCGCCAAGAUUUGUUCCAUUUAUAGAGCAAAGGUGGAGUAGAUUUAGCAUAAUUCUUCAAAGCUCUAGGAUUUUAGGAAUGGUAAAUGAACACUGGCUUUUAAAGUCACUAGUUGUGUUAGCCCCUCACAAGAAAGUCAGCCUGUCCCUUUGAUGCUUUGAAGCUGGUCAUUACUUUCUCCUCUCUAAGCUAUGAAAGUCCUACAUGGCAUCUUCUUGCAAUAGAAGGCUGCUCCAAACUUUUCUUCUGCAACUUCCUCACCUCUCUCAGUCUUCGUGGAACUGAGGUGAGUUAAGGCCUUGCUCUGCACUAGGCUUUGGCUUAAUGAAAUGUUGUGGCUGGUUUGAUGUUCUGUCCAGACCACUAAAAACAUUUUUCAUAUCAGCAAUAAGCCUGUUUCACUUCCUUAUUUAUGUGUUCACUGGAGUAACACUUUUAACUUCCUUCAAGAACUCUUCCUUUGCAUUCACAAUUUUGCUAACUAAUUGGUGCAAUAGGCCUAGCUUUUAGCCUAUCUCAGCUUUGUUUUUUUUUUUUUUUUUUUUUUCUUUUCUUCCAGCCUGUGUUGCCCAGGCUGGAGUGCUGUGCAGCCUCAAAUUUCUGGGCUCAAGCAAUCCCCCCACCUCACUCUCCAGAGUAGCUGGGACUAUAGGCACACACCACCACACCCAGCUAAAUUUUUUAUUUUUUAACAAAGACUGAGUCUCACUACUUUGCUCAGGCUGGUCUCAAACUCCUGGUCUCAAGCA
rnacentral:lncRNA from 1 species